rnacentral:miRNA from 1 species
CUGCGCGGUCGGCCGGAGGGCGACCGCGACGGUGGUGGCGGCGGCGGCGGCGGGUGCAGCUGG